UACGUAGGGUGCGAGCGUUUAAUCGGAAUUACUGGGCGUAAAGCGUGCGCAGGCGGUUUUGUAAGCCAGAUGUGAAAUCCCCGGGCUCAACCUGGGAAUGGCAUUUGGGACUGCAAGGCUGGAGUGCGGCAGAGGAGACUGGAAUUCCUGGUGUAGCAGUGAAAUGCGUAGAUAUCAGGAGGAAUACCGAUGGCGAAGGCAGGUCUCUGGGCUGACACUGACGCUCAUGCACGAAAGCGUGGGGAGCAAACAGG
rnacentral:rRNA from 1 species